GCAAUCCAGGAAGUAGAAAUGGGGUACGCAGCCCCUUAAAGGGGAACGAACAAUGGGACACGGGUAUGGCACAAAGAUUUCCAUAGCUGGGGAAGAGCAGCUAUAUUAGGGCACGAUGAGGAAAGAUUGGUGGAGUAGGAGCGGGUGAUUCCACAAAGGCCUGGAAGCAGGGAAGUUUGAUUCCAAAGUGUCAAUUCAAUGAAAAGGAAAAUCUGACUUAAAAACUGUUUGAAAUGUUUCAGCAUAUGAAUGUAGAAGGGAUGGUUGGGUGGAAAAUAGAGACACUGAGAAAAAAAUUCCACGUUUGCUUGCAUGCCCCCCCCCCCAGCACUGCACCUCGCUUACUCCAGCUCCGACAAGGGGGGAGCGGGUGCUCUGGGCUCCUGGAUACGAGGUGCCAUUGAUUUUUCCUUUCUCUUCUUCCCUAUAGGAUACGCUUUGCUUUCUUAAGCAAAAAGGGCCGCUCACAGAGAGCAUAUUCAGAAAAUCGGCCAAUAUGAAAUCAUGCAGAUCCCUAAAGGAGACAUUAAAUGCUGGGGACAAAGUGAACCCGGACUGUGAAUCUGUUCUUGUGGUCGCAUGUGUCUUAAAGGUAGGGAAACUUCUAGCAUUAUCCACACACAGCGUAACUCUGAAGGUACACGAUCAAUUUCCUCCACCGUGAUUGCCCAGGAACCAUAAUAGGCAUAAUAGAUUGAGAAACUGAAAAACACUUCACGAAGUCCAAAUUUAAGGACGUUAGUUUGGGUGUUAAAAGCCCCAAAUGUUAGAUAUACUUUCCUUUCUCAUCACACACUGCCUUCUCCUUCUUCAUUCCGGAACAUUAUCCCAGAAUAAUAAUAAUAAAAAUUCUAAACACACACUUAGAUAUACAGAACGUUUACCAGAACAAACAUCCUGUUUUUGAUGACUUCUUCACCAUUGUCCUAAUGAAAGCAAAGUUUACAAAAGAAAAUUCGUAUGAAACAUUUGAAAAUAGAGAGGUUGACCGUAGUCAGUAAGCCAACAUUUGUCAUUCAAUGAAUCAAAAAAUGCUCAAUGAGUGACCAAAAGCUCCGUUCACUUCCUCAUCCUUCUUUCGCCUGUCUCUUUUAAUUGAAAAGUAGUGUAGGGGUGACUUCACUUUUUUUGCCUUCUUUCACCCUUACCAAAUUUGGCAUCCUUUAUUAACGUUUGUUAUGCUUAACCCACCACCCACGAUUAUGGUCACACUGUAGCAAGCUCCUACCACAUGCUGCUUCUUAUAUAUCUGACUUUUAAAGUAGGUGCAGCAACGAAAAUUUGUUUGGAAUUCUGAAAAUUCAAUAGAUUUAUACAAAAAAGGUUUUUAAAUGAUACAGCUAAAUCCCAAAUAUCCAGUUAUGUUUCUAUGAAGGGAAUCAUAGAACAGGGAAAGAAUUGACUCAAUCCAUCUUGGUAUUUGUUAACAGCUCUAAAGAGGAAUGUCAUAAGUAGAAAUGACUACAAUAGGUUAUUAAAAUCCUCUUAUAAUCGAGAUUCCAUUUGGUCUUUCCUUGUUCCCCAUGAUUGUUCAGCUCUGUCAUAAAUAGGGACAGUUCAGAAGUGGCUUAGAGUCGAGCACUGUGACACUGGGAUGAUUAGAAAUAUACACUAGGCACACAAAUAGCAAGUUGAGUGUUGCCUUCUGUGAGGUGCACACCUGGAACUGAUUUUCCAGCAAGAGUUAGAGUUGCCCAUCAGCAGAGUCUUGUCUAUCUUUCUGUUAUAAGUACAGACUAGCAAGGGGGUGGCCACUCGUGGGUAUAGUUCUUAGACAUUCCUAAAGUUGACUGAUCUUGGUGGGGAAUCAGAUUUUGCAACUUGGCUUUGAUAAUACCACGUCCAGUGAACUGGAGUGUUGACCUAAACCAGAAAUGAGUACGUCAUCAGGACCACAUUGAGUUUGCCAUUGAGCUGUCUAAAAACAGAGGUCCAGCAGUGAAUACCCUUGGCAUAUUCUGCUCGGGUCAUGUUCUGGCUUCACCACACUCAGCCUCACCAAUGGGCUCCCACAGAACAGGGUUCAGGAAACAGAGAGGAGACACAUGCUCCGAGUGCACGUAGUGUGGUACGCAUGAGGCAAGGGCCCUUCUGCACGCUCCCAGACUCGAAGAGCCGGCCAGAGUUGGACUGCAUCCUCCCUCCAAAUAUAUUGGAAGCACUCCAUAGGAAACACGGUGAAAAGCACUAACUACCAUGGCUAGCUACAAUACCUUGGGUACCACACACCAUCAACAUAGUCAAAGUGAGAGGACUGGGACUCUGUCCAUUGGCUUCUCUGCUCUGUCCCCAGUGCUCACAACAGUGCCUGGCACUAACAGCAGCUCAAUAGGGAUUAGCAUGAGUGAACCAUCAUUAGAUUCUAAUUAGGAUAGUUGCCCUGAGGCACUUCUGGAGCAAGCCACCACUAAGAGAAGGCGUGUGCUGCUGAGUGAGAACAAUGGAAGCUAGGUGUGCUUGGAAGCUAGCAAGAAAAUGUGACAACUUCCCCUCAGUCUUGCACAAACAUUAAAGCUUCGUAAAUUUUAAUAGGCCCAAUUCUACGAUAUUAAACUUGUUCCUCAGCCUUCUAAAGUGAGAGAUAUUCCAGGCCUCCACUUAGGAAGCUGACAUUUGUGGGUCUGUAGCCCUGAUACUCAGAGGCCUGAAGUUGCGAUGUAUCUAAGUUGUUAGUAAGUUUCUUCUUUUGGAAGGAUCUGUAUGUCCCACUCACAGACUGUAAGCGGUAACACGCUGUUACCCAUUGGGGAUUUUGAUAUAUUUCCAAUGCCUGCUGCUUCCCAGUCUGCAGAAUCGAACUUUUAUACAGUUAAAACCAGGAAGAACGAGGCUAUUGUGACGCAGUGUUCUCCCAAGGAGCACACAUACCUCAAGUCAGAAGGCUCAGUUCUCUCUUAAUAUGUGUGCGAGAGCACGAGGGUGUGUGCGUUUGUUUGUUUCAGAACUUCUCUUGCUUGAGUUAAGAGCAAGCACUGUGUCUCAAACGGGGAUGGGUAUUUCUUCUCAAGAAACUAGGAGGAUUGAGGAUGACGUCUCACCGGACCUUGUCAGUUUCUACUAGUUUACUAAAAUGGACACCAAGAGGAAGUUCCAGGUGACAGAAGGGGGCUUUCUCUUCACUCCCACUGUGGCCCACUCUGCUUUGAUGCUUCUAAGUUUUAGAAGUCCAAGCACCCACUUCAGGGUGUGCAAGUCAGUGGAGAGGUGGAGCUGAGCGCUGCAUGGGUCACAGUGUGGGGAGCCUGAGAAGGAAGUGGGGACAGAAACUCAAUUUUUCAACUCCAUGUUUUCCCUGUAAUUUGUCCAAUAUGUAUUUGCCAUAAGAAGAAUACUCUUCUUUUGAUCUGUGUAAGGAUUUUCUUAGAAAUAUCCAAGGAAGUAUAUUUACAUCCAAUCUCUAUGCUAAAUGGCUCAGUAUAACUGAUGGAGAGAACAAGGAGGAGAAAAUCGCUGCCACUCAGAGGCUUUUGGACGAGCUGCCCAGAGCCAAUGCAGCGCUCCUGCGUUAUCUUUUUGGAGUGCUGCACAACAUUCAGCAGCAUUCAUCCGUCAAUCAGAUGACAGCUUACAACUUAGCCACGUGUAUAGCCCCAAGCAUUCUUUGUUUGCCCAAUGCCUGCAGCGCAGAAUUAGAAAGUGACAUCACAAGAAAGGUAAUGAAAGCUCUCAUUUGCGUGCCCUAGGGGUCAGAGUCCCCACGUGGAACCCAAAAUGGACGGUGUUAACUCUGACAGACCAAUUUUUGAAAGUGCAUCCGUUGAGUGGCAGAGUCAUUUAUCCUCCUCUGUGGGGAUGGGAAGGAGGGUUGUUAAGGGGGAACUGUGAGCAGUUGAGUCUCUCCUCCCUUCCUGUCCAUGAGACUAAACUCUGGACCGACUGAACAGCAGAGAGAGGAGCGGCCCGAUAUGACAGAAAAGAACCUGGGCUUUGGAGUGUGACAAGCCAAGGUUCAACUCUCAGCCUAAUCACCGAGGGAUGUGUAACCCUGGGCAAAGUUUCCAAGCGAUGGUUUCUUCAUUACACGAUGGCGACAACACCCAGCUCCUCUGGUCAUUACUGGCACAUCCUAGGCAGCUUGGGCAAUAUGAGCACCCAUGGCUUCACACACUUUGGCCUUCCUCUGCCAGCUGUGGCUCAUUCAGAAAAAUACUUGGCUACUAUUUUGCCUCUGCUAUGGGGUGAGGAAACUAGUAAAAGAUUCCAGAACAUCCCAUCAGAGCUACAACAUGCCCAAUAAGAUCAUAGCUGUUUCCCAAGAGAGUUUCCCAGAAAGUAAGGGUGGGGCAGGCAAUGCAAGAGGAGGGGCUGCAGCCAGACAAACUGAAUGGUGUCUCUCCAGCUGCUUUCUUCCCUCACAAAAACCCACAAAAAUCUCUGCUGCCCAAGUUUAAGCAGCACCUAAACUUACAAAUGUAUUUCACGUAUCCGUGUCUAUUGGGUGCUUUAUAAAUUUCCUAAGAUGCGAUAUGUCUAUUAUAUCUCAACAAAACCGGAAAAAAAUUUUUAAUGAAAAUGAAUAUGUAAAAUUUCAUAAGAGAGUAUACAUCUUCCCCCAAACAUCCUAUGUGGGUUACAUUUGAAAAUUGCCUUUGUUUUCAAGAUGUAACCAUUGAUAUAAAAAUGUUAGCUUUUAAACUAGACCACAAAUUAUGCCUUUAGUCCACUGAUGAAAAGUAUUUUAAAACCUGUGCCCAAAGUACUCACAAAAGUAUCACAGUUCGUUCUUAGAGAAAACUGGUUCUCUGAAUUUUUCUUAGCAUUCUUUCACAAUUUUUGUUAGAGCCAAGAUUCAUGUAUGAAAUGUGAUUUAUAACUAUGCCAUAUGAAAAAGAACACCCCGUUUUUACCCUUUUGUGUUGCAGAUUUCUCUUGUACAAUUUUUGGUUGAAAAUUGCCUCCAGAUCUUUGGAGAAGACAUUGCUUCCCUCCUGGGGGAGAGCUCCAUGCGUUGUGAUGGCAGCGAGAAGCCUGCAGAUCCUUCGACUGACUUCGGAGAAGACAUUGCUUCCCUCCUGGGGGAGAGCUCCAUGCGUUGUGAUGGCAGCGAGAAGGCUGCAGAUCCUUCGACUGACUUUGGAGAAGACAUUGCUUCCCUCCUGGGGGAGAGCUCCAUGCAUUGUGAUGGCAGCGAGAAGCCUGCAGAUCCUUCGACUAACUUCGGAGUUUCAAACAACCAACCUCUUGAAUCCAAGCCAGUGAGAGUGACAGUGACUUACAAAAAGGCACAACUGCAGAAUGACGCCGAGGCCCCACAUGGCGUGGGUCCACCCAGCUCCCUGUCUGCAAUGCUGUCAGUCACUGAAGAUUAGAGUCUCCGUAUUCAUACUCGACCCUUUCCUUUCCUUUCCUUCCUGUAAUAUCCCACCAAGAAUGCUUUUUCCAAAAUUCUACUACCUCCGUUAUGUUCUCAUCACGUAGACACCAGUCAGCUAAUGCCCCCGAAAUCAUUUUCAGCCCCUUGUAACAAAAAAGUGUGUGGGGGUGGUGAAUUUCUAGAAAAAUACAGGGUCAGAAAAGGAAAGUUUUCGUAGCUCCUGGGAAUCACUUCAGGACUCAAGAACAGUAAUUCCUGAGCUUGAAGAUUUCCAGUCCUCAGUCACCACAGGGUCAGUAGAUUACAUGGAAGGAUCCUCUCAGACAUCUCAGGAAAUAAGCUCCCAACGUGUCAGAGACCAAUUUUCACAAAGUUAAACACAUGAAUCUCACACACUAGAGUCUAAACUUGAGUCCAAAUGUUAUUCAACUCAUCUUACUGAGGAGACCAGUAAGGUGGUAAAGAAUGUUUUUGAGUAUAGUACUUUUAUGGCACCAAGCUGGGGCCAAAGAAGCAAAUUUUCUUUGUUGGACAUAAACAGUUAAUGUUUUAAAGGGUAAUCAAUCUAUAAGCUUUGAAUUUAUCUUCUCCUGUGACAAAAAUCUACAAAUUAACAUUAUUCUAUUUUUAUGACACACAGUGAAGGACAUCCAGAUUUGGACUCCUCCAUCUUACACUUCCCGUGCAAGCUUUCCUGGAGGGGAAUCUGUCCUCCCUCUGUCAACUCUCUCACCCACCCUUCACUUCUCACCCUGCUGACAUGUGGCCUCUCCCUGUCUUCCUUUCCAGCAGCCUCAGUAGAUCACAUUCAACCGAUGACCAAGCCCCUUCACCUGACAAACCAAAGCACAUCUUCUGGGAUUCCUAAGGCACUUGCCCUGCCAGGGUCUUGUAAUUCCUGAAUUCUAAUCUCAUUUCCCUGGUAGUUCACUUCUCCCAGGUCAUGUGAUUUAUCUCCAUCUUCCUCUGUUUAUAUCGUUUCAUGGACUUUUCUACAUCUUCGCCUAAACCCGAGGACUCUUCACGUCAUUCCCAGGUGCCCUCAGCUCUCGUGUUGCCUCUGAUUCCCUGCUCUCCUAUCAUCCCACCAACGCUCAUCCCAUCACAGACCCAUGAGUGCAGCAGUGUCCUGUCUGGCCUCCCUGUCUCCAGUGGUGAAGUUGGGGAAGGAUGGCCCCAUGUAUGCCUCCCACCCUAAUGUUCCUACUUCAGGGCAAGCUCCCUGAGCAGGGAUGAGGCUGUCUAGCACAGCCUGGCAUUCCACUGCCAACCACCAGACUCAACACCAGAUUGGAAAACAGCUCCAGAGGAAGGAUAUCGUUUGUUUGAGGUCACCCGGUUUGCGAAGAUGAAGUCAGAAUUUAGAGCCCAUGUUGUUCACCGAUGAGUUACGUCACUAACCACGUUCCAAAGUGAUGCUGAUGGAAAGAAUGCUGGUGCUUCAGAGUCCUGGGGCAACCUUGAGAAGCUGCAGAGGAGUGGAUGACCAC